ACCGGUGCAAUAUGGGUGGAUGUAUCCAGUGGAAAGAAGGUUGUAUACAUUGAAACGUUUUGUAAGAAAUAUGGCUAGACCUGAAGGAUCCAUUGCAGAAGCAUAUGUUGCUAAUGAGUGCUUGACAGCUUGCUCAAGGUACUUCAAUGAUGUUGACACACGACACAAUCGGGAGGGUAGGAACAAAGAGCGUGUUGAUUUGAGUAGAGGCAAAUUUUAUGUUUUUCAGCAUGCAGUUGAACUUCUUGGAGCACCAAGAAUUACAUACCUCCAAGAUGAUUAUGAUAAGAUGGUUUGGUAUGUACUAAACAAUUGUUCGGAGGUCGAGCCAUAUAUAAAGAUGUAUAAGGAAGAGUUAGAGAAUGAAGGGAUUGUUAAUGUGGAAAAAAACCAUUCAGAAGCACUUUUCCUCAUGGUUUAAGAAGCAUAUUGCAAGUUUGUGUUUUCUCGAGGGAGAAGACAUUGAUGAUGACCUAUAUGCAUUGGCAUGCGAACCAGAUUUGCGAGUUCGAAUUUUUCUGCAUGUCUUGUUGAUGGUGUCCGGUACCACACCAUUGACCGUGAGAGCAAUAGAAGAACCCAAAACAGUGGAGUCAUGGUUGAGGGCACUCAUAAUAAUGAAUGCAUUGAUUUUUAUGGCUGCUUAAAAGAAAUUAUCGAGUUGCAGUAUAACUCAGAUUUGAUGGAGCAUCAGACAGUUGUUCUUUUCCGGUGUGAUUGGUUUGACACUCAUAGCAAGAAAGUUAGUAUGAAAUAUGAUGGAUAUUUUAGAAGCAUAAACCAUAGUAGUUGUUGGUACAAAAAUGAUACUUUUAUUUUAACAGCACAA